GUGGGGAAUAUUGCACAAUGGGCGAAAGCCUGAUGCAGCAACGCCGCGUGAAGGAAGAAGGUCUUCGGAUCGUAAACUUCUGUCCUUGGGGAAGAUAAUGACGGUACCCUUGGAGGAAGCCCCGGCUAACUACGUGCCAGCAGCCGCGGUAAUACGUAGGGGGCAAGCGUUAUCCGGAAUUAUUGGGCGUAAAGAGUGCGUAGGUGGUUACCUAAGCAGGGGGUGAAAGGCACUGGCUUAACCAAUGUCAGCCCCCUGAACUGGGUACCUUGAGUGCAGGAGAGGAAAGCGGAAUUCCUAGUGUAGCGGUGAAAUGCGUAGAUAUUAGGAGGAACACCAGUGGCGAAGGCGGCUUUCUGGACUGUUACUGACACUGAGGCACGAAAGUGUGGGGAGCAAACAGGAUUAGAAACCCCAGUAGUCC
rnacentral:rRNA from 1 species